AGCCCCAUAGUACAGUGGUCAAGUAUUCAGCCCUUUGGAGGCUGAGACCCAGGUUCGAAUCCUGGUGGGGCUA
rnacentral:tRNA from 1 species